UCAAUAGCUUAUAAAUAGAGCAUGGCACUGAAGAUGCCAGGGAAGCAGCUACUGCUUUGAAAUAACC
rnacentral:tRNA from 1 species